rnacentral:rRNA from 1 species
GGCGUGAAACCGAGCAGAAGUAACUUGGUGGACGAGAAAAGUCGCUGAUGGGAUUCAGCCGUUGACCUGAUGCGCAGCGUGCCGUCGACCGAUGGCUGCUGCAUGCUAUUGCGUUAGGUCUUCGGUGCACUUCCCGUUAGCGCGCGCAGGGAUCGAUUGACACGUCGACAAAGUUGUUCAGGGAGUGGCCCAUCCGCAAGGUUGGUAGCCGACCUGUUCAGACCGAUCGAUUGUGACAAUCGAGAUUCGAUCUGCCCGCAUUGUUUCUUGCCUGGCGUCAUGAGUGGCUGCCGUUGGUUUUUUACUGUAACAGGUAGAACUCCAUUGGUACGUUGCUUACGAUGUUAGGAUGUAGAGACGGCAGAAAGGAUCGCUUGCGUCUGUGUCUCACACCCACCUAUAUCGUCUUGAAACACGAGCCGAGAAGUCUAACAGAUGCGCAAGUCAAUGAGUUUCAUAAAACUCAAAGGCGAAAUGAAAGUAAAGUCGAGGCCUUGUGCCCGGCGAGCUGAGAUCCGUACCCUCGGGUGCGGCGCAUCAGCGUCCCGUCUCGUGAACCUUUGGAUUCUGAGGCGGAGAUAGAGCGUAUCUGUUGGGACCCGAAAGAUGGUGAACUAUGCCUGUGUAGGAUGAAGCCAGAAGAAAUUCUGGUGGAAGUCCGUAGCGUUUUUGACGUGCAAAUCAAUCGUCAAACA